GACCAAGAGUACUUUAAGGAUUAAGACCUGCAACAGUGAUCACCUUCUCUCUCUUCACUCUCUCAGCUUCAACUAUUGAGUCUUUCUUGUAAUCACUUGUGGUACUCCAGACUAAGAUGUAUUUUCCUCUUCCCUACUUUGAAUAGUUGUGGACAUGAUGAUCCAGAGGCGUGAAUGUAACCGUAUGGUUGCAUUGCCGACCGAGUCGCGCUCCAAAUUAUCACGUUUUGGACCCGCAGCUUGACAAUUUUUAUUAGCUUCUACUUCUAACAUGAUUUAGAGGAUAGACAGGUCUAGUAUGGAGAUGCCUUGCAGUCGGAGUGUAUUACAGAUGGAGUAGAAGAGCAACCUGAAGCUUAGUCUUUUCUUUUCGUAGUUGCUGAUGGAUAUUAGAUUAAUCAUAUAGUACAUUCUCUUUUAGUAUUUGAGGGAUUUAGUUAUUUUUGUAGUACUUCCUUUCAUUUCUGUUGGACUAUGUAUUUUUCAUAUUUUGUUGGACUAUUUUGUAAUAAGGGCAUGUUUGACCCAAACUUUGUGUUU